rnacentral:misc_RNA from 1 species
GAAAUGCGAUAAGUAAUGUGAAUUGCAGAAUUCAGUGAAUCAUCGAAUCUUUGAACGCACAUUGCGCCCGGCAGUAAUCUGCCGGGCAUGCCUGUCCGAGCGUCAUUUCAGCCCUCGAGCCGCUCUCGCUAGCGGAUCGGUGUUGGGGCACUACGGCGGCUUCGCCGUAGGCCCCGAAAUGAAGUGGCGGUCCCGCCGCGGCGCCCCCAUGCGUAGUAACGUCUAGUCUCGCAUCGGGUCCCGGCGGAGGCCUGCCGUCAAGCCUUUCUAUCUCAGAACAGUUUGACCUCGGAUCAGGUAGGGUUACCCGCUGAACUUAA